GCCCUAGUAACGGCGAGUGAAGCGGCAAGAGCUCAAAUUUGAAAUCUGGCUCCUUUGGGGUCCGAGUUGUAAUUUGUAGAGGGUGCUUUGGUGUCGGCUAUGGCCUAAGUUCCUUGGAACAGGACGUCACAGAGGGUGAGAACCCCGUAUGUGGCUGCUAGCCUUCACCGUGUAAAGCCCCUUCGACGAGUCGAGUUGUUUGGGAAUGCAGCUCUAAAUGGGAGGUAAAUUUCUUCUAAAGCUAAAUAUUGGCCAGAGACCGAUAGCGCACAAGUAGAGUGAUCGAAAGAUGAAAAGCACUUUGGAAAGAGAGUCAAAAAGCACGUGAAAUUGUUGAAAGGGAAGCGCUUGCAGCCAGACUUGCCCGUAGUCGCUCAUCCGAGCUCUUGCUCGGUGCACUCUUCUGCGGGCAGGCCAGCAUCAGUCCGGGCGGUCGGAUAAAGGCUCUGGGAAUGUAGCUCUCUUCGGGGAGUGUUAUAGCCCAGGGUGUCAUGCGACCAGUCUGGACUGAGGUCCGCGCAUCUGCUAGGAUGCUGGCGUAAUGGCUGUAAGCGGCCCGUCUUGAAACACGGACCAAGGAGUCUAACAUCUAUGCGAGUGUUUGGGUGUCAAGCCCGGGCGCGCAAUGAAAGUGAACGGAGGUGGGAACCCUUCGGGGCGCACCAUCGACCGAUCCUGAUGUCUUCGGAUGGAUUUGAGUAAGAGCAUAGCUGUUGGGACCCGAAAGAUGGUGAACUAUGCCUGAAUAGGGUGAAGCCAGAGGAAACUCUGGUGGAGGCUCGCAGCGGUUCUGACGUGCAAAUCGAUCGUCAAAUUUGGGCAUAGGGGCGAAAGACUAAUCG
rnacentral:rRNA from 2 species